UCUCCGCUUCCUGCGACGACGCAAGUGAUUCUUCCCAAAAAGAUCACCCGGUUAAAAGAGGCAUGACGAAGUUGUGUUUGUUGCAGGUCAACCUUUGGGAUUCUUCCCAAACAGAUCACCCGGUUAAAAGAGAUCAACAAACAGUGAACCAGAGUUCAUGUUGCCGGAAGAAAGUUGCGUUGUCCAGAUUCAGGUCCAGAAAGAUUCAUUGUUGAUUGAUUAAUAUAUUGCAUGUUUCUUUUGUUCUUUCAACUGAGACUUCAACGAAGAAGAAGAAGAAAAAUAAGAGUAAAAAGCAAGAAAAAGACCCAACAGACUGAAGCUUUUUCCAUCCGGAGAGUUUCCUGAAGGUGAAAUCCAACAGUAUAAGGACGUCAAUUUGUGGAGAACAACAUCUGAAGAGAAGAGAGAUUUGGACCGUUUGGAGAAGCCAAUAUACAACUCUGUAUGCCAGGCUGCAGAAUUUCAUCGCUAGAAAAUAUGUAAGAAGCAUAGCGAAGCCUCGAAUGUUGAUGACUGAUAUAUGCGAGACAUUGGAGGAUACUGUUCGUAAGCUUAUAUCAGAGAAUGGUUUGAAAGCUGGUAUUGCUUUCCCUACAGGAUGAUGCUCUUUGAAUUGGGUUGCUGCUCAUUGGACACCAAACUCCGGAGACAAUACUGUACUUCAAUACGACGAUGUUAUGAAAGUGGAUUUUGGAACACAUAUUGAUGUGUGAUCUAAGACUCUGUGUGAUUAAUGUACUUUCCUCAAACUUACGACCUUCAUGAUGAUUCAUCUAUUCUCUGCACUGAAGAAGAGGUACAGCUUGGUGUUUGUAAUGGCUGAAGUGGACCGAAUUCUUAGACCACAAGGAACAUUUAUAGUAAGUGAUGACAUGGAAAAGAUAUGAGAAAUUGAGAAGAUGGUGGAAUCACUGAAAUAUAAUGUAAUAAUGACACAUUCCAGAUAUGGUGGAGGAGUGAUCUCUGUUCAAAAGUCAUGGUGGCGUCCUACAGAGGUCGAGACCAUUACAUCGGUGAUAGCAAAAGAAAGAGAAUUGGUUUAAUAUAGUUUUAUUAGAAUGUUUAUUUUAUGAUCACGUUGAUUGUUUACAUUGUAUUAGGCCAAUAUGUGUAUCUUUAUUUUUGCAUUGACGAAAAUUGUUUACUAGACAUUGUCCUAUAAUGUAAACUUUUAUAUGUU